AGAGUUUGAUCCUGGCUCAGAACGAACGUUGGCGGCGUGGAUUAGGCAUGCAAGUCGAACGAAUCCCUGGGGGCUUGCUCCCAGGGGGAAGUGGCGAAAGGGGCAGUAAGGCGUGGGUAACCUACCCUGGGGACCGGGAUAGCCUUCCUAACGGAAGGGUAAUACCGGGCGAUGUCCUGGUGGCGCAUGUCGCCGGGAUGAAACGAAUCUCGCCUCGGGACGGGCUCACGUGGUAUUAGCUUGUUGGCGGGGUAACGGCCCACCAAGGCGAAGAUGCCUAGCAGGUGUGAGAGCACGACCUGCGCCACUGGCACUGAGACACUGGCCAGACUCCUACGGGAGGCUGCAGUCGAGGAUCUUCGGCAAUGGGCGCAAGCCUGACCGAGCGACGCCGCGUGUGCGACGAAGGCCUUCGGGUUGUAAAGCACUUUAGCAGGGGAGGAAAGCCGCAAGGUCUGACCUAUCCUGAGAAUAAGCACGGGCUAAGUUCGUGCCAGCAGCCGCGGUAAUUC
rnacentral:rRNA from 1 species